GAAGUCAUUACAUGUUGUGUUAUUCUUCUAAGACAUAAUAUGCUCUUUUACAAAGCUUUGAUAAUUCUACAGUCAUAUAAAUGAUUUUAUGUUGCUGCCAGAGACAUUUUGUUCUUACCACAGUAGUUGUAAAAUGUUGCUGCCUGUUUAGAUUUUGCAAAAUCAAAACGAAUUACCUCUGGUCACAAGCUAAUUCUAACAAAAAAAGGACAACUUCUGAAGUGAUUCUGAGUCGUUGGGAUGAAUCAUUAGCUGCAACUCUAUGUUCUCCUCUAAUAUAAUCAAUAUUUCCUUAAAAUAUACCAUAUAAAAUAUACAUGUAGAGGACACUUCAUGUUGUAUGCGCCAAGAUUCAACUAUGGAGACAAGCAAUCAUUUAUUUGUUGAAUGUGAAUAUGCUACAAAAGUAAGAGAUACAAUAACUCAAUGGAUAAAAGUCAGUCUACCUACAAGAGGUUUCAAGGAAACAGUAGAAAUAAUCAAGAUAAAACAUUGGAAGAGUUUGAAGAAGUAAGUGAUAGCAGCUAUGUGGGGAGGAAAGCAAGAAAUUGGAAACACUUCAAAGGAGUACAUAUGCAGUAUACAGAGAUAGUGAACACAAUUAAUAGAGAAAUGGGUGAAACAAUAUUAAUGUUCAAUGAUACAAAAAAUCCAAGUAGAUGUAGUCGUUUUUUGGCAAAAUUGUGUAAUUACAUGUCUUUACUUUUCCUCAAUAUGUUGAGGUUUGGAUGAUUAUAAGUAUCUUUUAUGGUUUUUAUGUUAAUAAUAUUCACAUUGGUUGCCAAAAUACUUGAAGUUUUCUUUCAACCAUCACAUCAAAUCGUCUUGGUCACCAUUUUGUAGUUCCAGCUUUGAAAUGUGUCUUCUGAAUAUCUAUAGAUAUAGUUUCACCCUUCAUCUCACCUACUCUUACUAGAGCUUUUUCCCUCAUUUUGUAGUUGAAGCUUUCGAAGUUACAAACCUACCAGUUAAUUUAACUACAGGAGAACAUCAAUUAAAUAGUACUGGCUCCCUUACAAUCAGCACUUCUUUGUUAUUUCCUCAACAAGUUGAAGCUUCUGAAGCUAUAAACCUACCAGUUACUUCAACUAGAGGAGAAAGUAUAGUUAAUUGCUUAUCUACCUUUGAAGUAGGAUCAACGUCGGGUGCAUCUUAUGCUGCAAGCAGAUCAAGUUCAAGACGUACUUCAAAUAGAGGUAUGUUUCUCUCUACCAUAGUAAAAAAAAACUCUGUAUGCCUUUACCAUAGUAAAAAAAAAAUGUAUGCCUUUAUGUAACAAAUAAUUGCUUUUUACCAUGCACAGGUAGAAAUAAGUUAGAAGUAAAUCUACAAAAUGAUAAUUUAUUGCUAAAAGAUUACUUACUUUUAAAGAAAAUUCCAAAUUGCAAAUUUUGUGCAGCAAAAAGAUUUCAAUAUGAAUCACCAGGUUUUUGUUGUAAUAAUGGAUCAAUUAGGCUAACUUCUCAUAACAUGCCUAU